rnacentral:rRNA from 1 species
UACAGAGGGUGCGAGCGUUAAUCGGAAUUACUGGGCGUAAAGCGUGCGUAGAUGGUUAUGUAAGUCGGAUGUGAAAUCCCGGGGCUCAACCUCGGAACUGCCUUUGAUACUGCAAGUCUCGAGUCCGGAAGAGGUGAGUGGAAUUCCUAGUGUAGAGGUGAAAUUCGUAGAUAUUAGGAAGAACACCAGUGGCGAAGGCGGCUCACUGGUCCGGUACUGACGCUGAGGUGCGAAAGCGUGGGGAGCAAACAGG